GAUGAACGCUGGCGGCGUGCCUAACACAUGCAAGUCGAGCGAUUUACUUCGGUAAAGAGCGGCGGACGGGUGAGUAACGCGUGGGUAACCURCCUCAUACACAUGGRUAACAUACCGAAAGGUAUGCUAAUACAGGAUAAYAUAAGAGAUUCGCAUGGAUUUCUUAUCAAAGCUCCGGCGGUAUGAGAUGGACCCGCGUCUGAUUAGCUAGUUGGUAAGGUAAUGGCUUACCAAGGCAACGAUCAGUAGCCGACCUGAGAGGGUGAUCGGCCACAUUGGAACUGAGACACGGUCCAAACUCCUACGGGAGGCAGCAGUGGGGAAUAUUGCACAAUGGGCGAAAGCCUGAUGCAGCAACGCCGCGUGAGUGAUGAAGGCCUUCGGGUCGUAAAACUCUGUCCUCAAGGAAGAUAAUGACGGUACUUGAGGAGGAAGCCCCGGCUAACUACGUGCCAGCAGCCGCGGUAAUACGUAGGGGGCUAGCGUUAUCCGGAUUUACUGGGCGUAAAGGGUGCGUAGGUGGUUUCUUAAGUCAGGAGUGAAAGGCUACGGCUCAACCGUAGUAAGCUCUUGAAACUGGGAAACUUGAGUGCAGGAGAGGAAAGUGGAAUUCCUAGUGUAGCGGUGAAAUGCGUAGAUAUUAGGAGGAACACCAGUAGCGAAGGCGGCUUUCUGGACUGUAACUGACACUGAGGCACGAAAGCGUGGGGAGCAACAGGAUUAGAUACCCUGGUAGUCCCGCCGUAACGAUGAGUACUAGGUGUCGGGGGUUACCCCCCUCG
rnacentral:rRNA from 1 species